AUACUUACCUGGCGCAGAGGUUAACCGUGAUCAUGAGGGCGGUUCCUCCGGAGUGAGGCUUGACCAUUGCACUUCCGGUCCAGUUGACCUCUGCGAUUAUUCCUAAUGCUCGUGCGCGGAAUUUUUGUAAGCCGGGAAUGGCGUUCGCGCCGUCCCGAC